UACGGAGGGUGCAAGCGUUAUCCGGAUUCACUGGGUUUAAAGGGUGCGUAGGUGGGCAGGUAAGUCAGUGGUGAAAUCUCCGGGCUUAACCCGGAAACUGCCAUUGAUACUAUCAGUCUUGAAUACCGUGGAGGUAAGCGGAAUAUGUCAUGUAGCGGUGAAAUGCUUAGAUAUGACAUAGAACACCAAAUGCGAAGGCAGCUUACUACCCGAAUAUUGACACUGAGGCACGAAAGCGUGGGGAUCAAACAGG
rnacentral:rRNA from 1 species